rnacentral:lncRNA from 1 species
AUGGGAGCAGGCUGGGGUGCAAGGUGUUAAGUUGAAUACGGUGAACCAUUCACCGUGUUUGGCAUUCACCGUGUCCAAACACGGUGAAUGGUUCACCGUGUUCAAUAACUUAUAUUACACCGUACUUGGUUGAAAUAAUACACUAAACACGGUGAACCAUUCAUAGUGUUUCGUAGAACUCCACCCCAAGCAUUGCAAAAUUCAGCACAACAACACAACAAAUUCAACAUCAACACAACAACAAAUCAACACAACAACACAACAACAAAUCAACACAACAACACAACAACAAAUCCAACACAACAUCAAUUGAGCAUCAAUACCAUAUAAUCACAACAAAAUAUCAAAAAAUAGAGGAAGUUUUUCAAUAAUAUAAAAAGUUCUGUGCAAUUUAAAAUUUACAAAAAUGUAAUGUUAUGUUCUCCUCCUAGUCCUUUGACCACGUCUACCUACACGUCCCCUACAAC